rnacentral:rRNA from 1 species
UACGGAGGGGGCAAGCGUUAUCCGGAAUUACUGGGCGUAAAGCGUCCGCAGGCGGUCUAUUAAGUCAGAUGUGAAAGCCCCCAGCUUAACUUUGGAAUUGCAUCUGAAACUGGGUAGCUAGAGUCUUGUAGAGGGAGAUAGAAUUCCAUGUGUAGCGGUGAAAUGCGUAGAGAUCGGGAAGAAUACCAGUGGCGAAGGCGGGCUCCUGGGC